rnacentral:rRNA from 1 species
UCUGGUGCCAGCAGCCGCGGUAAUUCCAGCUCCAAUAGCGUAUAUUAAAGUUGUUGCAGUUAAAAAGCUCGUAGUUGGAUUUCUGUUGUAUAAUCUAUAAUAUUACUAAGGUAUAUAUUAUAUUAUCAACAUCCUUCCUAUUAUAUUUCUAAAUAUAUAGGAAACUUUACUUUGAGAAAAUUAGAGUGCUUAAAGCAGGCAACUGCCUUGAAUACUCCAGCAUGGAAUAAUAAGUAAGGACUUUUGUCUUUCUUAUUGGUUCUAGGACAAAAGUAAUGGUUAAUAGGGACAGUUGGGGGCAUUCGUAUUUAACAGCCAGAGGUGAAAUUCUUAGAUUUGUUAAAGACGAACUACUGCGAAAGCAUUUGCCAAGGAUGUUUUCAUUAAUCAAGAACGAAAGUUAGGGGAUCGAAGACGAUCAGAUACCGUCGUAGUCUUAACCAUAAACUAUGCCGACUAGAGAUUGGAGGUUGUUCCUUACUCC